rnacentral:lncRNA from 1 species
AAAAAACACGCAUCAUAAACUGUGUCAUCAUGACCACUUUUUACGUGUACAGUUCAGCAGUGUUAAGUAUCUUCAUAACCUGCUCAUUUCGCAGAACUGAAACUCUAUAACCGUUAAACAACAACUGUUUUCACCUCUUCCCCCUGGUCUUUAGCAACCCACACUCUACUUUCCUUGUCUGAAUUUGACUACUUUAGGAACCUCAUAUAAGUGGAGUCAUACAGUAUUUGUCCUUUUGAGAUGGCUUGUUUUACUUAGCAUAAUGUUCAUCCAUGCUGUAGGAUGUGACAGGGUUUCCUUUCUAAGACUGCAUGGUAUUUUGUUGUACGUAUGCGGCAUUUCCCCCCCCACCCCUGCAUUUUGUUGAUCUAUUCAUUUAUGAAUGUAUAUUUGGGUCACUUCUACCUCUUGGCUAUGGUAAAUAAUGCUGCCAUGAACAUGGGUGUGCAAAUAACUUGAGACAUUGCUUUCAGUUAUUUUGGAUAUAUACCCAUAAGUGCACAAUCACUUCUAUAAAAAUCUCUGUGGACUCUACACAAUAGCAGUUUUGCUUCUUGUAUCUACAUUCUUCUAGAUCCUUAGUAAAAUCUUCCACCUUCCCUCUAAAGAGCUCAACUUGGGAGCACCUGGACCAGGUGAACUCCCAGGUGUGUCCAGCUCUAAAUCUAGUGAUCUACAGGAAUGUCCUGAGUAUGAUACUGUCCUCAUAACUAGUUCACAUUAAUGAGUAUAUCUCUGCCCCAGAAGAUGUGCACAACCAGGUCAAAGUAAAUAUCCUCCCAGAGAGCUGAGGCUCAACAGAAUAUGCCAAGGACGAGGAAUUUUCUUCUCAACACUGACCUUACUGGUUCACCUUUUUCACCAGCCACAAAACAGGAAGUGAUCAAGCUAAUAAGGUGGAUUCCCAUCCAUGAGGAUGGGGGUUUGGUCCUGGCCUCGCUUGGUGGGGUAAGGAUCCAGUGUUGCUGUGAGUUGUGGUGUAGGUCUCUGAUGCCGCUCAGAUCUGGUGUGGCUGUGGCUGUGGCUGUGGCCGGCAGCUGCAGCUCCCAUUUGACUCUUACCCUGGGAACUUCCACAUGCCUCGGGUGUGGUCAUAAAAAGCAAAACAAACAAACAAACAAAAACAAAACAAACAAACAAAAACUUAACAAGCUCAUUAACUAUAGUGCUAUGCAUUCUCACACAGAUGAAGUCAACAGAGUUUAUUUCAAUAGACGGUUUAAAAAUUUCAGGCAGAGUAACUGUAACAUAAUAAACUCAAUAAAGGGCUCUUGUUUCUAUAUAGGUAUUCUCCUAUGGAACAUUCUUCUGUGUAAUUAUUAUUACGUAUUGCCUUGUAUAAAAUCCAACUGCUGGAGAGGUGAUUUAAAUUCAGUCCCUAUGUUUACGUAAUAAGAAAACACUCCUGAUAAACAGUGCAACCCUUUGAGGAACAUCAUGAAAAGAAAAGAGUUAUCUGUUCCAAGAGUCUGACUCCAGUGCAGAUGUACAGGGCUGUGUCUGGAGAGGAAAAUUAAUAGCUCCAUUUCCUUUCUUCCCUCUUUCUAUCUGAUAAGAGAUGCUCUCCUGGGAUGGAGAGGGCAGUCUUGGAAGGAGGCUGGAGGCCUGUGGAGGGAGAGGGACCAGGACUGACACGCUCAGAAACUCAUCAACCACACCUGGUUUCUGCAUCCGUUAUGGAACCAGAUGUGCAAAUACUGCCUCCGAGCGGAUUGCCAACAGCACCAGGCACUGGAGGGAAGCUGAGCCUUCCACAUGUUCCUUCUCAUUGUCAUGCUGGCAGAGUCCAGCCAGGCUCCUGUGACACACGGACGCCCAUAUACAUCCCUGAUUCUCACCUUGCCAGACCUGGGAGCCAUCGAUACGAAUGGGGAGCUCAGACUUCGAGCCCCUGACAAGGCCGUGACCCCAGACUCCCAGGACCCCAAGGAGCCUGCAUCGCACCCUCCCACCCAAGCUGCUCUGCGUUCACUGGGCAAUUCUGGGAAAAACUCAAAAUGUGCAGAAUUGCACUCCUAUUGAUCAUCCUAAAAUACAUGUAGCUAUGGGUUUUGGAAGACAUGCUCAAUCUGUGCUACAUGCAACAAGCGUAUCUCUGCCCCAGAGGACAUACCCAACCAGAUCCAAGGAAAUAUCUUCCCCGGGAUAUGGAGCCACCACCAAAACCUGUUGGGGAAGGCUACAGCGCCACGGGGAAUAUGGGAUGAACAUGCGAAUCUACUCUGUUUACAUUUAUCUCUUAUCUACAAAACCCACAACAGAACGGACCAGGCUUUACCAUUUACUACGUGGACUGUUUUGCCUGUGUGCAGGCAG